rnacentral:rRNA from 1 species
AUGCAGUCGAGCGGAACGAGUUAUCUGAACCUUCGGGGAACGAUAACGGCGUCGAGCGGCGGACGGGUGAGUAAUGCCUAGGAAAUUGCCCUGAUGUGGGGGAUAACCAUUGGAAACGAUGGCUAAUACCGCAUGAUGCCUACGGGCCAAAGAGGGGGACCUUCGGGCCUCUCGCGUCAGGAUAUGCCUAGGUGGGAUUAGCUAGUUGGUGAGGUAAGGGCUCACCAAGGCGACGAUCCCUAGCUGGUCUGAGAGGAUGAUCAGCCACACUGGAACUGAGACACGGUCCAGACUCCUACGGGAGGCAGCAGUGGGGAAUAUUGCACAAUGGGCGCAAGCCUGAUGCAGCCAUGCCGCGUGUGUGAAGAAGGCCUUCGGGUUGUAAAGCACUUUCAGUCGUGAGGAAGGUGGUGUAGUUAAUAGCUGCAUUAUUUGACGUUAGCGACAGAAGAAGCACCGGCUAACUCCGUGCCAGCAGCCGCGGUAAUACGGAGGGUGCGAGCGUUAAUCGGAAUUACUGGGCGUAAAGCGCAUGCAGGUGGUUUGUUAAGUCAGAUGUGAAAGCCCGGGGCUCAACCUCGGAAUAGCAUUUGAAACUGGCAGACUAGAGUACUGUAGAGGGGGGUAGAAUUUCAGGUGUAGCGGUGAAAUGCGUAGAGAUCUGAAGGAAUACCGGUGGCGAAGGCGGCCCCCUGGACAGAUACUGACACUCAGAUGCGAAAGCGUGGGGAGCAAACAGGAUUAGAUACCCUGGUAGUCCACGCCGUAAACGAUGUCUACUUGGAGGUUGUGGCCUUGAGCCGUGGCUUUCGGAGCUAACGCGUUAAGUAGACCGCCUGGGGAGUACGGUCGCAAGAUUAAAACUCAAAUGAAUUGACGGGGGCCCGCACAAGCGGUGGAGCAUGUGGUUUAAUUCGAUGCAACGCGAAGAACCUUACCUACUCUUGACAUCCAGAGAACUUUCCAGAGAUGGAUUGGUGCCUUCGGGAACUCUGAGACAGGUGCUGCAUGGCUGUCGUCAGCUCGUGUUGUGA